rnacentral:rRNA from 1 species
UUUGCAAGAACUUCCUCCUCCAGUGGACGGGACAUGUGGUGUUUAGGUAGACAAGUCCCGUGAGGGAAAGUUGAAAAGUACUCUGAAGAGAGAGUAAAUAGCACGUGAAGCCGCUUGCAGGGAAGCUGGUGGAGUCAAGCUUCGUGUCGGUAGAAUUGACAUCAGAGGACUGUGAGUCUCGGGAUAUGGCGCGAGAUAGCCUGGAAACGGUUUGGUGCACUCACCUGCACUUCAAGUCAUUCCGGGUAGUGUGAUUGAACUUGUGCCUAUCUCCCACCUCUGGUGCUUUAUUCUGCCUGAUACACAUCACGGUCAAUAGUGGACAGAACUUGUACUGCAUGAAUGCUUAACCGUGCUUUGGUGGACCUAACCGUCUGCUGGGCAUGGAAUGGCAGAAGGCAUGUACGGGCCUCGGCUCGUUCUAUGCGUAUACUGGUUUCGACACUGCUAGUGUUCAUGUACUGUAUCAGCCCUAUUGUUUCUAUGCGUG